GACGAACGCUGGCGGCGCGCUUAACACAUGCAAGUCGAGCGAGAACCAGGGCUUCGGCUCUGGGGACAGCGGCGAACGGGUGAGUAACACGUGAGUAAUCUGCCCUCGACACUGGGAUAGCCCGGGGAAACCCGGAUUAAUACCGGAUAGCCUUUCGAGCUCUCGGGCUCGUCAGAAAAGGAUGGCUUCGGCUUUCGGUUGAGGAUGAGCUUGCGGCGGAUUAGCUUGUUGGUGAGGAACGGCUCACCAAGGCGACAAUCCGUAGCUGGUCUGAGAGGACGAUCAGCCACACUGGGACUGAGACACGGCCCAGACUCCUACGGGAGGCAGCAGUGGGGAAUCUUGCGCAAUGAGCGAAAGCUUGACGCAGCGACGCCGCGUGAGGGAAGAAGGCCUCGG
rnacentral:rRNA from 1 species